rnacentral:lncRNA from 1 species
GUGUCCGUCAGUGUGGGGGUGUGAUCUGGCCUGAGGUCUCGCUCUGAGAAGUGGGCUCUUCCCAACACUUCCUCCACGGAGGGACAGUGGAGGGUGAAGUUAGAUCCGCUGCCAGAGCCGGAAGCUCCUGCACUGCCCGGGGCUCUGUUCCAUGCGGGUCCGGGAGAAGCAUGGCGUCAGCCCAUCUGGGCCAGGACCGGGUGCUGCCCUGCUCACAGCUUCCCCAUGAGGUGACGUGUGCCCUGAAGUUCCAGAGUCUCCGAGUUCGGGAGAGUCCACGUUUAGGUGACUGUUCUUCAAAUACCCACUUCUAAGGGAAGAGGCCUCAGCCAUUCCUGACACAGAGGUCUCCACAGGGACCACGUGUCCCACCCACAUGAACUCUGCCCAGCAGCCGGAGUCACAGAGGACACACACACCCUCCCCCACAGGUACCUGCACACCACACAUGCACUACACACCACACACACACAUCCACACCCCACACACACCACACACACACCAUACCCACACCCAUCAUACACCACAUCCACACCACAUCCACUCACACACACCCACUCACACACACCCACUCACACACACACACACACCCCUCACCCCAGGCAGCAUUUAGAGUCCCGGCCCCAGCGCACUCUCCCUUGGACAGUGGAACCAGAGGGGCAGGAAGGGUGAUCUUCCACGGUGGGGACCGAGGAAGCCUCGAGGCCCUCAGAGAGCAUAAACUCAGGACAGUGAUGGCCCUGGAAUGGGAACAGAACAAGACCGGGAAACUCAUUUCUUAAUUUUCUGUCCCCGCCCCCUUACACCCAUCUCUCAAAAGCUGAAGGCAACACCCGAGAGUCAUUCCCGCCCUGCUCUGCACCCUGGGAAGUUGACCCCAGGAGACUGCUUCAUCCCCACUCCCCUCCUUCUGGCUUCGAGUUGGGUUCAGCCAAUGGGAGAGCCCAACAGGACAUGGGAGGGUGGGAGGAGAGAGGCCCGGUGUGUAAACUCCACUCUCUCCUUGCCUCAGCACCUCCAGGACUAUGGCUCCACUGGGCAGCCCCCUGCUAAAGCUGUAGCCCUCUCUGGGCUCUGGUACUGCUGUUU